rfam:Bacterium CG10_37_50 isolate CG10_37_50 CG10_big_fil_rev_8_21_14_0.10_scaffold_6652, whole genome shotgun sequence.
AAUAAUCUAUUUACAGAGCCAGAGACAGUAGGUAUUCUCGUUUAAAGAGAAUAUAAAUCCUACCGAGGGUCGAUCUCUUUCUACGGCUUUUAUUGGUCGUUUUUUUAUUUAUUU